GGUGACGUAGCUUAAAAGACUAGGUAAAGUACCUCCCUGUCAAGGAGGUUUAUGUGGGUUCAAAUCCCAUCGUCACCGCCA
rnacentral:tRNA from 1 species